AAUAGAUACCCUGGUAGUCCACCCCGUAAACGUUGGGAACUAGUUGUGGGGUCCUUUCCACGGAUUCCGUGACGCAGCUAACGCAUUAAGUUCCCCGCCUGGGGAGUACGGCCGCAAGGCUAAAACUCAAAGGAAUUGACGGGGACCCGCACAAGCGGCGGAGCAUGCGGAUUAAUUCGAUGCAACGCGAAGAACCUUACCAAGGCUUGACAUACACCAGAACACCCUAGAAAUAGGGGACUCUUUGGACACUGGUGAACAGGUGGUGCAUGGUUGUCGUCAGCUCGUGUCGUGAGAUGUUGGGUUAAGUCCCGCAACGAGCGCAACCCUCGUUCUAUGUUGCCAGCACGUAAUGGUGGGAACUCAUGGGAUACUGCCGGGGUCAACUCGGAGGAAGGUGGGGAUGACGUCAAAUCAUCAUGCCCCUUAUGUCUUGGGCUUCACGCAUGCUACAAUGGCCGGUACAAAGGGCUGCAAUACCGUGAGGUGGAGCGAAUCCCAAAAAGCCGGUCCCAGUUCGGAUUGAGGUCUGCAACUCGACCUCA
rnacentral:rRNA from 1 species